rnacentral:rRNA from 1 species
UACGUAGGGAGCAAGCGUUAUCCGGAUUUAUUGGGUGUAAAGGGUGCGUAGACGGGAAUGCAAGUUAGUUGUGAAAUCCCUCGGCUUAACUGAGGAACUGCAACUAAAACUACAUUUCUUGAGUACUGGAGAGGAAAGUGGAAUUCCUAGUGUAGCGGUGAAAUGCGUAGAUAUUAGGAGGAACACCAGUGGCGAAGGCGACUUUCUGGACAGUAACUGACGUUGAGGCACGAAAGUGUGGGGAGCAAACAGG